CCUUGUCGGGAUCAGGUUUCGCGAUUGACGAUCUGUUUUUAUAUUUUUUGAAUAUACCAAAAAAAUAUAAUAUUCAAACUGUAAGUUCGUUGUCGACGAAACCUGCAUACUGCAAGG
rnacentral:pre_miRNA from 1 species